rnacentral:rRNA from 1 species
AAAUUGAAGAGUUUGAUCAUGGCUCAGAUUGAACGCUGGCAGGCUAACAUGCAAGUCGAACGGUAACAGGAAACAGCGUUUCGCUGACGAAGUGGCGGACGGGUGGUAAUGUCUGGAAGCUGCCUGAUGGAGGGGGAUAACUACUGGAAACGGUAGCUAAUACCGCAUAACGUCGCAAGACCAAAGAGGGGGACCUUCGGGCCUCUUGCCAUCGGAUGUGCCCAGAUGGGAUUAGCUAGUAGGUGGGGUAACGCGGCUCACCUGACGACGAUCUAGCUGGUCUGAGAGGAUGACCAGCCACACUGGAACUGAGACACAGUCCAGACUCCUACGGGAGGAGGCAGCAGUGGGGAAUAUUGCACAAUGGGCGCAAGCCUGAUGCAUGCCGCGUGUAUGAAGAAGGCCUUCGGGUUGUAAAGGCACUUUCAGCGGGGAGGAGAGGGCCCAGAGUUAAUACAACUACGCUCGUGGCUUGGUGUUUACCAGCAAGCUUACCGGCUUAACUCCGGCACCAGCAGCCGCGGUAAUACGGAGGGUGCAAGCGUUAAUCGGAGUACUGGGCGUAAAGCGCACGCAGGCAGUUUGUUAAGUCAGAUGUGAAAUCCCCGGGCUCAACACCGGGCUGCAUCUGAUACUGGCAACUUGGUCUCGUAGAGGGGUAGAAUUCGGGUGUAGCGGUGAAAUGCGGCCGGAAUCUGGAGGAAUACCGGUGGCCGAAGGCGGCCCCUGGACGAACUGGCGGCAGGUGCGAAAGCGUGGGAGCAAACAGGAUUAGAUACCUGAUAGUCCGCCGUAAACGAUAUAAUCGACUUGGAGGUUGUGCCCAUGAGGCGUGGCUUCCGGAGCUAACGCGUUAGUCAGGCCGCACAGGGAGUACGCGGCCGCAAGUUUAAACUCAAAUGAAUUGACGGGGCCACCUGGCUUAGUGAGCAUGUGGUUUAAUUCGAUGCAACGCGAAGGGCUUACCGGUCUUGACAUCCACAGAACUCCAGAGAUGGAUUGGUGCCUUCGGGAACUGUGAGACGAAUUGCUGCAGCGCUGUCGUCAGCUCGUGUUGUGAAAUGUUGGGUUAAGUCCACAACGAGCGCAGCCUUAUCGCUGUUGCCAGCGGUCCGGCCGGGAACUCAAAGGGAGACUGCCAGUGAUAAACUGGAGGAGGAAGAUUAUGACGUCAAAAGUCAUCAUGGCCCGCACCCGACCGAGGGCUACACGUGCUAAUGGCACGCUUCAAAGAGAAGCGACCUCGCGAGAGCAAAAGCGGACCUCAUAAAGUGCGUCGUAGUCCGGAUUGGAGUCUGCAACUCGACUCCAUGAAGUCGGAAUCGCUAGUAAUCGUGGAUCAGAAUGCCACGGUGAAUACGUUCCCGGGCCUUGUACACACCGCCCGUCACACCAUGGGAGUGGGUUGCAAAAGUAGGUAGCAACCUUCGGGAGGGCGCUUACCACUUUGUGUUGAUUCAUGACUGGGGAGUGAAGUCGUAACAAAGGUAACCAGCGGGGAACCUGCGGUUGGAUCACCUCCUUACCUUAAAGAA